AGAAUUUCAGGAGUUGAUCAUUCCAAUCUAUUGCUCAAGGAGUCUCUAAAAGAAAAGAGGAAGACUCUUGGCAGAAGGCUGUCACAAUGCCAGGGGACUGCCGAGGACAGAGUCUCUCUUCUUAUCACUGAGAUGUGAAAUGGUUGCUGAAGAUUUCAUAGUUAAGUAGCUAAAAUGAAUUGCAGAGUUCCCUCAGUGGAGUGAGAGAAUGAACAGGAACAGGGUGAAGAGGGGAAAGUACAUGUGAAGAAGAACCAUGAUCCCAGUUUUGCAGAUGAGGACACCAGGGCGUUGAGAGGUGAAAUAACACGUCCGUGGUCAACCAGCACCUACGUCAUCAAGCCCCACCCAUGUGGCUCCAGGGCUGGAGACUGAACUUCCUCACCUGCCGUUUCCCGGCCAUUUCAUAACUCUUCAAGCGGCAGUCUUUCCCCAGCAUAGGGCUUGUAUUUGGGAAAAGCUGUGCCUAGUUUUGCCUGAGACUUCUUAGCGGAAGCAGAAGGAGAUGCUCAUGCAGAACUGGGGGACCCAAGUUUCACCUGGUCCUCACGUGAUAAGAUGGCAAAAGUAAAGUCCCGUUAACAGGAUAGAAAACUGCUUACAUAUGUGAAAUGCCAGCUCUUCUUUCUGGCUUCUAGCAGCAUCAUUAAGGUUUGAAACCUUCCAGAUCCAAGUUCGGGUGAGGCAUAGAUCUGGGACUGGUGAGCUUCCUGGGUGCCCUGUGGGAAGGAAGCUUCUUGAUCAGAGUGUUUCACAAUGGGCUCUGGGCCCUGAGGGGAUCCCAGGGCAGGCCUCUUCCUCCCAGGAUGCUGAGCUCAGGGAGAGCCCUGUUUUCCCAAGAUCACUUCCGGUUACAGUGAGGGGGGAAGCUGCUUCACGGGCCUUUCCCAGGGUCUUCAUUUGCAACAAACCACUGUAACACACACACACACACACACCAAAAGACACAUGAGAAGUUGAACAUGUGGAAAUAGAUGAUUUGAAAAGAAAUGAAUAGAAAUGAAAUAAUCAUUUUAAAUUACUGAAAAAAAUACAACUAUACAUCAACAACUGUGAAACAAAGAUUUGGCACUCACCCUGAGUAUUAAGAGCAUGUAAGGCAAAGAGGGUAUGAAAAGAAUAUGCAGUCAUUUCAGCAUGCCCAGCUCCACUAUCCUUAGGUAUUUGGUCACUUCAAUAGUCUAUUUUUUGAAGUAGGCUGAUUGUAAGGGUCCUCUUUCUCACUAGUAUUGCAAAAAAUAAAAAAUAAUUUCAAUGAUUUUACUUUGAAACAGUCUUUUUUCCCCUACCAGAUUAAUUUUCCUUAAAUACCAUUUUCCUCACAAGCUAAAAAGCUUUAGCAAUUCCUGCUGGCUUUCAGACCUGAUCCAACUUUCUCAGCCUGGAAAUCUAGGUCAUCCCAUCGUUGUCCGACCCUUCCCUACAGAAAUCUUCCAUCCCAGCUGGUAUCCUCAUUCUUCUGCAAACAUAUAUCGCUCGUUGCUGCUUCAAACAGUUUAACCAUGCUGGACCCCAAAGGAAGUCCCUCCUCCAAGGCAUUUCUCUCCCUCAACUCAUUUCUUUUCCUUCAAUUCAUGUUCAUCUCUCAGAUUUUUCCCCUCCAGAGAUACUGACUGAUUCCUUUACAUGGAGAAGUCCCAGGUGUGACUGAAAGAAGUAAACAAAUGAUCCCCACAGUGCCUUAAGCAGAGCAGUUUCCCUUCUGGAGGCAGCGAAGGGCACCAGAAGGUUCAUUUGUAGGGAUAAAUGUGUAUUUUUAUGAAUGGAGUUUUCAAUAUUUAAAUACCCCCUCUGAAUUUAUGUCCUUAUUUACUUCAGUGUAGCCAAACAUAACUCAAAAUUCAGCUAAUUUAAGACACAGUCUCAUUCUGAAUAAAUAAAUGAAGCAAGCAAAUCUUUUUCAAGGAGAAAAUGUCUUUGAAAGGGAUUUCUAAAGCUUCAUUACAUUACAUGGAGAAGUUGGUUCUCUAGUGAAUAAAUAGAAGUCAUAGCCUGCUUCUUGCAGUACAAUUUUCGCAGAAAAACAAACACAC